UAGGGAAUCUUCCACAAUGGACGCAAGUCUGAUGGAGCAACGCCGCGUGAGUGAAGAAGGCUUUCGGGUCGUAAAACUCUGUUAUUGAAGAAGAACGUGUGUGACAGUAACUGGUCAUGCAGUGACGGUAUUCAAUCAGAAAGUCACGGCUAACUACGUGCCAGCAGCCGCGGUAAUACGUAGGUGGCAAGCGUUGUCCGGAUUUAUUGGGCGUAAAGCGAGUGCAGGCGGUCUUUUAAGUCUGAUGUGAAAGCCUUCGGCUUAACCGAAGAAGGGCAUCGGAAACUGGGAGACUUGAGUGCAGAAGAGGAGAGUGGAACUCCAUGUGUAGCGGUGAAAUGCGUAGAUAUAUGGAAGAACACCAGUGGCGAAGGCGGCUCUCUGGUCCGUAACUGACGCCGAGGCUCGAAAGCGUGGGUAGCAAACAGGAUUAGAUACCCUGGUAGUCCACGCCGUAACGAUGAAUACUAAGUGUUGGAG
rnacentral:rRNA from 1 species